rnacentral:rRNA from 1 species
CACAUGCAAGUCGAGCGGCAGCGGGAAAGUAGCUUGCUACUUUUGCCGGCAAGCGGCGGACGGGUGAGUAAUGCCUGGGAAAUUGCCCAGUCGAGGGGGAUAACAGUUGGAAACGACUGCUAAUACCGCAUACCCCCUACGGGGGAAAGCAGGGGACCUUCAGGCCUUGCGCGAUUGGAUAUGCCCAGGUGGGAUUAGCUAGUUGGUGAGGUAAUGGCUCACCAAGGCGACAAUCCCUAGCUGGUCUGAGAGGAUGAUCAGCCACACUGGAACUGAGACACGGUCCAAACUCCUACGGGAGGCAGCAGUGGGGAAUAUUGCACAAUGGGGGAAACCCUGAUGCACCCUUGCCGCGUGUGUGAAAAAGGCCUUCGGGUUGUAAAGCACUUUAAGCGAGGAGGAGGCUACCUGGAUUAAUACUCUGGGAUAGUGGACGUUACUCGCAAAAUAAGCACCGGCUAACUCUGUG